rnacentral:rRNA from 1 species
UGGGGAAUAACCGCUGGAAACGGCGGCUAAUACCGCAUACGCCUUAAGAGGGAAAGCUCCGGCGCCCUGAGAGGAGCCCGCGUUGGAUUAGCUUGUUGGUGGGGUAACGGCCUACCAAGGCUACGAUCUAUAGCUGGUCUGAGAGGAUGAUCAGCCACACUGGGACUGAGACACGGCCCAGACUCCUACGGGAGGCAGCAGGUGGGGGAUAUUGCGCAAGUGGGACGAAAGCCUGAUCCAGCCAUGCCGCGUGAGUGAAGAAGGCCGUUAGGGUUAGUAAAGCUUCUUUCCACCUGCGAAGAUGAUGACGGUAGCAGGAGAAGAACGCCCCGGCUAACUCCGUG